AUUGAACGCUGGCGGCGUGCCUAACACAUGCAAGUCGAGCGGUAACAGGUGUAGCAAUACAUGCUGACGAGCGGCGAACGGGUGAGUAAUGCUUCGGAAUCUACCCAAUGGUGGGGAAUAACCAGCCGAAAGGUUGGCUAAUACCGCAUACGUCCCACGGGAGAAAGCAGGGGAUCGCAAGACCUUGCGCCAAUGGAUGAGCCGAAGUCGGAUUAGCUAGUUGGAGGGUAACGGCCUACCAAGGCGACGAUCCGUAGCUGGUCUGAGAGGACGACCAGCCACACUGGGACUGAGACACGGCCCAGACUCCUACGGGAGGCAGCAGUGGGGAAUAUUGGACAAUGGGGGAAACCCUGAUCCAGCGACGCCGCGUGUGUGAAGAAGGCCUGCGGGU
rnacentral:rRNA from 1 species